rnacentral:rRNA from 1 species
GGGGAAUAUUGCGCACUGGGGGAAACCCUGACGCAGCAAUACCGCUUGAGUGAAGAAGGUUUUCGGAUCGUAAAGCUCUGUUAUUGGGGAAGAAAAAAAGACGGUACCUGCAGAAGAAGCGCCGGCUAACUACGUGCCAGCAGCCGCGGUAAUACGUAGGGCGCAAGCGUUGUCCGGAAUUAUUGGGCGUAAAGAGCUCGUAGGCGGUUAGUCGCGUCUGCUGUGAAAACUCGAGGCUCAACCUCGGGCGUGCAGUGGGUACGGGCUGACUAGAGUGCGGUAGGGGUGACUGGAAUUCCUGGUGUAGCGGUGGAAUGCGCAGAUAUCAGGAGGAACACCGAUGGCGAAGGCAGGUCACUGGGCCGCAACAGACGCUGAGGAGCGAAAGCAUGGGGAGCGAACA